rnacentral:rRNA from 1 species
CAGUCGCCGCGGUAAUACGUAGGGUGUGAGCGUUAAUCGGAAUUACUGGGCGUAAAGCGUGCGCAGGCGGUUUUGUAAGACAGGCGUGAAAUCCCCGGGCUCAACCUGGGAAUGGCGCUUGUGACUGCAAAGCUAGAGUGCGGCAGAGGGGGAUGGAAUUCCGCGUGUAGCAGUGAAAUGCGUAGAUAUGCGGAGGAACACCGAUGGCGAAGGCAAUCCCCUGGGCCUGCACUGACGCUCAUGCACGAAAGCGUGGGGAGCAAACAGGAUUAGAUACCCCCGUAGUCCCUGUCUCUUAUAC